rnacentral:lncRNA from 1 species
GUAUUUUAUUAAAGAACAGCCCAAUAUACUUAAGAUUAUAAUUUCAUAAGACUUACCUCUUUACAAAAUGUUCUAGGGACCACAGUGUUGGAAAUAAAAUAGGUGUGCACAUUUCACAGCAAGAUGGCAGUAUUGCUGUAGCAAAGGGAACAAGAAUGAGAGAAGUUUAAAAGGUAGGCAGGGCUUAUAAAGGACAGAGCCUU